CCGCUUUGGUGACUCUUGAUNACCUCGGUGCCUGAUCGCGCGCCCUCUGCGGCGCGCGACGUCUCAUUCGACAUGUCUGCCCUNUCAACUUUCGGUGGUACUAUAGUGCGCCUACCAUGGUGACCACGGGUAACGGNGAAUCANGGGUUCGAUUCCGCGAGAGGGAGCCUGAGAAACGGAAUACCACAUCCAAGGAAGGCAGCACGCGCGUUUAUACCCAUUACCCGACACGGGGAGGUAGUGACGAACAAAUAACGAUACAGGUCUCUUUCGAAGGNACCUAGUAAAUCAGCGAAUCGAGCGUAUCCUAAA
rnacentral:rRNA from 1 species